AACUUACAGCAACGGAUCUCUUGGCUCUCGCAUCGAUGACGAACGCAGCGAAAUGCGAUAAGUAAUGUGAAUUGCAGAAUUCAGUGAAUCAUCGAAUCUUUGAACGCACCUUGCGCCCUUUGGCUAUUCCGAAGGGCAUGCCUGUUUGACUAUCAUGAACACCUCAACUCUCAUGGUUUGCCAUGAUGAGCUUGGACUUUGGGGGUCUUGCCGGCCUAUGGUCAGCUCCUCUCAAACAAAUCAGCUUGCCAGUGUUUGGUUGCAUCACAGGUGUGAUAACUAUCUACGCUUGUGGUUUUCCACCAGGUAACCUUCAGUGAUGGAGGUUCGCUGGAGCUCAUAAACGUCUCUCCUCUGCGAGGACGGCUUUUUGAACGUUUGAUCUCAAAUCAGGUAGGACUACCCGCUGAACUUAAGCAUAUCAAUAAGCGGAGGCU
rnacentral:misc_RNA from 1 species